GGCGCACGCCUGCCAAUUGAUCAAGGCUUUGAAUUGCGAACAUCCCCACGGGUCG
rnacentral:tRNA from 1 species